CUGGAUAAGACGAUAAGAGAAAAAAACAAAUUCGAAUGUGAUAAGCAGAGACGAGAGUAAGAAUUGGGUUGGACACACUGAGGCAGGAAAAAGAAGAACAUUCCAGGGACAGAAAUGGAGAUGGAGGAAAGUUGACAGGCAAACUCAAGCAUGCACAGUUUGAGAAUCGGCACCGUAGCAUGGUGGAUUUGAAGUGCUCACGAUAUGGGUGUGUGUUGUUCAGCACUUCCACUAAUUGGGAUCAGGCAAAUGGAGACUAAGAGCAAUGCAAGGCUAUUAGUACCUUGAAUGGUGAGACCAGAGGACCCUCCUCAAGAAGACACUGCUUGUGGGGUUAGGGUCACAGUUAGUGGAGCAUUGAUCUCAGGAUGUAACCAGGCUCGGAUGCAAAAUGUGGCAUCAAAUGUACCUCUUCAACACUUCUUGGGGCCACUCUCUGCAUGGAAGACUGUCAAGACUGUGAGCCAGGUGGCAGGAAAGUGUGGGGGCUUAUAGGCAUGCCAAUCUGGAGAAUCAUAAUUUCUUUGGAAUGUCACCUGACUGGAAUCAAAGCUGAUGUGCAAGGUUCAGCAAUGAAAUCAAGUUAGAUUGUUGGGUUUUGUGUGUGCUUGAGCACGGAACAACAACUCAUCCUCCCUGAAGUUUUCAAAGUCUGGUCGGUGUCAAGGAAGCGGUGCCAUCUGGAUAUUCUUCUAUAUCUGGACAGGCGUGAUUGAGAGGAGAAGCCUUUUCAACAUGAAUCCAAGCACUUUUGUGUUGUUGUGCUUCUGUCCUUGGCCCAGUAUUUCUAAGGAAAAAAAACAUUUGAUUACAAGACACUGAUGGAUUUUGGUGUGUAUCAUUAGAUUUUCAGUGUUAUCUUUUGGAAACUUGGGCAAAGAGAGGGUCAGAGGUUUUGCAGAUCACCUCCUACAAGUGUGUUUUAAGCUAGUGGCUAGGUAACCUGCAAAAUAGAACUUUGAAAGCUAAUCAAUUGGUGAAGAUAAAUUGGAAACAUGACAGAGAGAAAGAGAGAGAGAGGCCAACUAAGGUGUAUAAUGUCACAAAAGUAGAAGUAAAAAGUGUAUGCUAUAGGAAAGGUACUGUUGGAAGUACUUUGUCCAAAAAAAUAUCUCAAGUAAAUGUAACUGAGAUAUAGCUAAUUACGUCCCAUGUUUGCUAAAAAAUAAACAUCUUAAACACACACGUUUGCUUUUAAAUAGAAAAACAGGAUAAGAGCCUUAGGUAAAUGCUUUGACUCUCUGCACAGUAGUUUGCCAGUGGUUGUUGCAAGACUAAAAGAGAUAAUGCCAAGACAGGAUCUGUUUUAUGUUGGUACAGUGCUUUUGGCAGAAAAAAAAAACAAUAGAUGUGAUGCAGAGCAGGCUCUUACAACAAUUUAGCACUGCUUGUUUGAACAAAAUGAGGGGGGAAAAAAACAGUUCACCAAAUGUAUGCCAACAUUUGGUUUUCAUUGCAUAAAAUGCUGAAGCAUAAUAGUGUCAUAGAUCACAGAAUUGUUGCCAAAUAAGACUGUUUGCUGCACUGUAGGCUUCGAUAGUAAAAGAAAUUGAUUAAGACGGGAGUUACAAUCAGUAUCAUUAAAUGUAAUGCACCCACAGUAAAAUUAAUCAGUCUCUCCAUAAUGUAAUGCAGAGUUAGGGCCUGUUGGUAUUUGGAUUUGAGACUUACUAUAAAUGUUAUACAAUAUUUUUUUGUGUUUAAAGUGAUGAAAAAAAAUCUUAAUUAUGAAUAAACAGAGUUGGGUUCUAGAAUGCUUGCAAAAAGGUAAGGCUGAGUAAAAGUAAGCUGAAACUUGUGGUUUUAAUUUCACACUCUUCACUGGUCUGCUACUUUAUCUUUGUAGUUGUUUUUGCCAUCAUGUGAUCAACAUUCUUAAAGUUCUAAUGUGCUAUACCUAACAUAUCAAAUUGCUUCCUCUUUUCUGUUUCUAGAUGUCUACACACUCCUUGUUGCUUAGUAUUUAUUUUCCCUGUGAAACUCUUUCUUCAAUGUUCUCUUUCAGUAAUGUUUAAUUUAGGCAAUGAUUUUCUGCAUCCCACACUGAGGUUGGGUCAACAGAAAAAGUAAAUAAGGAGGUGCAGAAAAUGUAGGAUGGUUUGGAUAAAAGCACAAUCAGGAAGUGUGGAUCCAAAGCGAGUCUGAGAGAGGGAGGCAGAGCGUGUAAUGGAAGAAAAAAAAAUACAUACGCAGGCAGAUUGCCAUCUGGUCCCAUUGAAAUUGGUUAAGACUAAAUACAGAUGGUUGCCCAGUAAAUCAAUAUAAUCUGGUUGAAGUGAUAACUUUAGAGGUGGAAACCACAAAUGGCUUUGCUGAUUUAAAUCACCUCUCAGUUCAAUGACUGACUAGGUCAUUCAUUCACUUUUGCUGAAGGUUAGUUUUUUUUCUGAUUUUGGAUGCACUUCAGUUUACUGCACAAAACAUACUAAUAUUAAGAACAGGAGAAGAACUACAGUAUCACGCAAAAUACAACAACUUUUUAAAUGGAAGUUGCGGCUACUUUAAUCUAACAUUGCGUUAAAAUGCUUCAAAUAGAUAUUGCUAAAACAAAAACACUAGGGAGCUUAUGGAAGGCCCAUGAUUUUACUAUAUAUUAUUCCUCUACUUGCUCUUGCUUUUUCAGCAUCACACCUUUGACUCAAAAAGGAGAUUUUAGAUUCACUGACAUGUCUGUAAAUAAAUCAUUGGGUCAACUUGAUUAUUAUGUUUCAGGAUUUUUGUGUGGGUUUAGAUACGAUGUGAAAUAUCCUGAUUAAUGUAGUUACUAUGUCUUGCAAAAGUAUACAUAACCCUGGAACGUUAUUUUUUGUGUGUGUGUAGACCAAGUUAUGCAUAACUGUCACUUGUAAUAGACUCCAUUAUGUGCAGUUAACUUCAGGAUAAAUACAGCUGUGCCGAAAAGGCCUCAAAGGUUUAGGGAACAUGAGCAGACAAACAGACUCAUAAAAAUCAAGGAACAUCAUACAUAGUCAGGGAUUAGUUGUGGAGAAAUUUAGAGCAGAGUUAUAAGUUUAUAGUUUCCCAAACUAUAUUAACGUCACAGAGAAUUGAUUAACCCAUCUUCUGAAAAUGAAAACAGUAUGGCGCAACUCCAACCCUACCAAGACAUGACCGUCGACCUAAACUGACAGGCCCAAGAAAAGUGUGGUUGCAGCAUCAUGUUGUGGAUAUGUCUUACUUCAAACGAAGAAACUAGUCAGAAUUGAUGGGAGGAUGUAUAUAUCAAAAUACAGGUAAAUCCUAAAAGAAAACCUAGAGAUGACUUGAGAAUGGGGGAGCCUUUCAAUUGGACAACAGCCCUGGGCAUGCAGCCUGAAGAAUCAAGAUCAAAGCAUAUGCAUGUGUUAAAAUAGUCAGUAGAAGCCACGAAUGAAUUGAAAAUUUGUCAAGAAGUAGAAAAUAAAAUUUAAAUCAAAUUCA